GAAUGGCGUCGGGGUUGGAGGGUUGGAAGGUCGGGAAGUGAAGGACUCGCAGGCAUAUUUAACAACGCAAAGUUGCUAGGAGUUGGUACCAGCGUUUGGGAGGUAGAGGUGGCGCUCAUGCAUAUUUGAGACAACAUCUGGAUGGUUGGGGAGAACGGUGAUGCCACACUCAAUCAGAAACUAUGCUACUGCUGAAGAGGUAUAUUGAGCCCUGCCUGGUUAACCUCCAGUGAGGUUAUUAGAGAAUUGGGAGAGGCUCAAAUCAGCAUCCUGCACCUAGUUAUCAAACCAUUGUGAAGUCUUGAUUCCUGGAUGGCCAGAAAACUUGUCAUUGGUCAAGAGCAACAUUAAGAUCUGCCUGUUACUCAUACUGAUGCUUCCUGCCCAGCAAGUUCAUCAGAGGGCGAGGAUGAAUUACGGUUGCCAUGAAUGUCCUUGUGAGGCAGUUGGGAAGCCUUGGCUGGAUUGUGAAGGAUAUUUGAAAAGUAUUUUAGAGUCCACCAGAUCAUCCAUGUGAGUGACCAUGCAGCAAAAGAAGGAGGGUCCUCUCAGUGAUUAAGGUAACAUAGUGAUUAAGGAUUAUGAAGUAUUAAUUCUUCCACUGAUAUCUCAAAAGGUGAUCUGGACAAAGGAACAGGUAUCUCAGAUUCCCAGUUCUCAAUCUUCCUUCCUCCUUACAAGAUACAAGCAACCUUCAACCUUCCCAGAGAUGGUCUCUGUAUAUGAAAGACAAUGGUCUUAUUAUGAAGUCGGCAUAUUUAUAGCUUGAUAAAAACUGAAAAAUCUGUAGCCUAUUUUUAAUAGUGAUAUAUAAGGAAAUAACAUAAAUAAAAAUUUGGCAACAAGAAUCCAGGAGCAAAUUUAUGAUCAAUACACAAUUGGGCAAGUGGUGUUCAUACCAACCAUGCAAAAAUGGUUCAAUUUUAGGAAAUCUUUGAAUAUAGCUUUUAGUAGGUCAGAGGAAAUCAGUAUCUCAAAGUACUUUCAUGAUUUAGUUAUUUUUAAGUUAUUGAUCAUUUUGGAUUUUAUUUUGAGGUUGAUAGCCAUAUAAUGAUUUCACAUUUUAUUUUAAAUGGCUAGCUGUUGUCCCAAUACUAUUUACUGAAAAAUCUACAUUUUGCUCACUCUUUUUUUUUUUUUUUAAGAGACAGGGUUUUACCAUGUUGCCCAGGCUAGAUUUGAACUCCUGGGCUCAAGUGAUCCUCUCGACCCAGCCUCCUGAGUAUCUGUGACUGCAGGCAAGUACCCCUGUGCCUGCUCACUUAUUUAAAGUUCUACACAUCAAAUACUAAAUUCUCAUCUAUUUGACUUCUGGACUCACUGGUUGGUGUCAUUGACUGUCUUUUCCUGUGAUAGCAUAGAAUUAUUUUGAUUGUGGAAGUACUAUAAAUGUUGCUAUUUAUUGUGCCUCUUGCUGCCUAUCUAUAUUUAGACUCAUUUAUGUGAUGCCAUUCUGUAUACUCUAAAUUUUUUGGUUCUAUUUUAAUAAUGUUUGAGUCAAUGACUUUUCAUGACUCUUGACUUCCCUACUUCAACAGUUUACUAGUCUCCAUCUUGAAUGUUUUUAUUAAUCUAUUUUGUGUUAAUUCUACCCAGGUUUUUUGUUUUUCCUUGCUACUAUUAUAUAUAUUUCUGCCAGAUGUCACAUGGUAUAAAUG
ensembl:lncRNA FTX FTX transcript, XIST regulator